rnacentral:rRNA from 1 species
UACGUAGGGGGCUAGCGUUGUCCGGAUUUAUUGGGCGUAAAGAGCGUGUAGGCGGCCAGGUAGGUCUGCUGUGAAAACUCGAGGCUUAACCUCGAGAUGUCGGCGGAAACCAUCUGGCUAGAGUCCGGAAGAGGAGAGUGGAAUUCCUGGUGUAGCGGUGAAAUGCGCAGAUAUCAGGAGGAACACCGGUGGUGAAGGCGGGUCUCUGGGCCGAUAUUGACGCUGAGGAGCGAAAGCGUGGGGAGCGAACAGG